CUUUGGACCUUUUAUUCCUAUUUUACAUUAUUGAUUAUUCAUUCUAAUAUCUCUUCUGAUUUUCAGCCUGAAUUCUUUCUGAGUUAUUUUGAUUCUGUGAGUUUCUUCCAACUAUGUUCUAUUCCUACUUUUUCCACUAUUACGUUACAAGCUUCUUGGAGACUGAGGUUCCCUUGACCACAGAAAUAUAUGCAGAGAUUUGAUUAAUGAAUUCAGUAGAUGAGUUUCUCUUUUAGGCUAAACAAUACUCAAUAAACAUCUGACACCUUUCUUGAACCAAUUGUAGCUCUUAUCGACAAUAUUCUGGGCUUCCCAAAGCUUAAGGCUUUAAGAUAGGACAAACAGUUGCCCUGUAAUGCUGUCUCUCCCAGGAAUUCAGUUCCUGGAUGUGAGAGUUCCUUGCCUAAAUAAGGUAGGAAUGAUUUUUUAAGGACAUUAAGGAUCACUCAAAUACAGUUCAGGGUCUAAUUUCUGUGACAACAAUUGGACAAGGAAAGGAAUCUUCUGGACCUUUAUUAGUUAACAAUAUUCUAGGUUAGGCUGCUGUUACAACAUUCAAAUCUUAGUGACUAAACCAAAAAGAUUGAUUUGCUCAUGCUACUCAUCCUUUAUGGAUUGGAGGGAGAACACUGACAUUUUGGAAUCCCCAUACUGGGGGUACCCAUUUCAGGGAAGAAAGAGUGUGCUUGAGGAUCUCGAAUCAGUAAUUUAAUAUUUCAUCCAGGAGGAGACCACAUCACUUCUAUUUGUUGGUUAGAACCAGAAAGUACAAUCUACCUCAUGUUUGAAAGGAGAGAUAACUGGAAAUAUUAGAGAACAGCACUAAUGACCUCCACAAAACCUACAAGAAGUCUAGCCAGCUGCGGUGAUUAACAUUCACAAGCCAGUAUUUGACCCAGACUAACUUGAGAUAAUUGCAAUGGGCAUUUCUAAAUCUCUUUUUGUUUCCAUCAAAGGAAAUCACUUUCAUCAUUUUGCUCCUAAUUACUCUGUAUCUCUUUUAAAUUGUUCCUGCUUCAAAGUACAGUCAGUAAAAUAUUCUGAGAGCUCUGGUAUAAAUCCCAGGCCUGCUUCCUUGCUAACAUCUUCACCUCCGCACUGGGGCUGUCCUUGAGUGUGUGCCCUGCCUCCUUCAGCAACUCCAGGCACCCCCUCUUCCCCUCUCCCAUCACCCAGGGAGCCACUUGCAAGCAUCUCUGUUUCCUUGGAUGGCAGCAAUACACAAGGGCACCUCAUUGUUGGAAGGGAGCUGCCUCCUGCCUGCCAACGCAGACAUACAAAGCAAUAUAGGCAAGACUUCACAUCAAAGGAAACCCUGCCUGGGCUUGCCAAGAGCAGGCUGCCUCUGUGUCUCUCCCUUCUGCCUUGUUAGUAUUCUUAGGGCCCAAGGGGCCGAUGGUAGUCCCUGCCAGGCUACCCCAUUUAUCCAGCCUUCUGUUCUCUGACACCUGAAGCUCAGGGUGCUCCCGAGUCUGUGCUCAACCACUUGAACACAGCAGAAUGCCAAGUGUUUAAAAUGUUAGGUGAUUAGAAAUGAAAAGCCAUGAAAAAUAUUUACUCUGUGAAUUCUAUUUGAGUAAGAGAACAGAAUACUUUAUUUGUUCCAUGCAACAACACACUGAAAGAAAUUUCUGCCUGAGGCCUCAAAGGAGAAAAAAAAAAAAAAAAGCCCAUGAAGGAAAAUUUCCCUACUGAGGAAGGCAGGGUGCCCCAUAAGCAGAGCAUGGGGAGCACCAGAACCAAUGCUGAGAUGGAGAUGAGCUUCCUGGGAAUUUGGAUCCAGUGGGAGGAGGGCUGUGCAAGACUGGAAACCCAGAGAAACUGCAAGUUCUACUUUAGAAUCAACAUAAGAAUUCAAACUCUGUAGCUUUAAAGAAAAGAAAAAUUCUGUGUUUUACAAGGAACAUGAGAAAAAAUGGAAAAAGGGGGCUGACAGGAAUGAAGAGGAUAGAAGCUUUACUUUAGAAAACAGGUUGGUGGCACAGACACCUCCCUCUUCCCUAGUUGAAGAUACUGUUUUCACCUUCUCCACUCCCCUACACACAGAAGAGAAUGAGGAUGCAGACUCUAUUCAGUGAUGGCAUAUAUAACAUCCCUCUUCAAAGGAACCUGGCCUCCUCUUCAAUCAAUGAGCUCUGGACCUUAGGUCCAACUCACAUCUGAAAACCAGUUAAGAACAACUCAUAAACGAGGCUUUUGCCACCAUAUCUCUACAGUGCCAGCACUCUUCCCUCUUGCUUCACUGCAAAUGAGAAUCUCACAGGAACUGACCUGCAAAAGAGUAAGAUGAAAAAUGUUCAGAAUGUUUCAAAACUCCACUUGACACUAGCAGUAAGGUCUUGUUCCCAUUGAGCAGGUGAGUUCUCCAGUUCCAGAAUCAUGCCAAGCCACUCCUACCCAGGACCACUUUCAGCACUAUCUGAUUCGUCCUGAAUCAGACCCUAACACAAAGAUUUGAGUACAAGUAGUUUAUUUCCAAAUGGAUUUCAGGACACAGUAGGAGAGACAGGGAAAAGUAGAAAGUCAAUGAAGGGUGUGUAUCAAGCAGGAGACUUUAUGCCACACUGGGACUUCAUGGCCCUGGGAAAACAGGCAACACUCUAGAGCAUCCCUCAGUUAUCCUGAAGGAGGAAACAGUGAGGAUCCUAGCACAAAUAACUCUACCAUGAAGAUAGGAGCAAAAAGCGGCUUUUAACGAUACCGCUGGCUCAGUGAGUAACUCUUGUCAGUCUUCAGAGUCCUGAAUAAAAG